AUUGAACGCUGGCGGCAGGCCUAACACAUGCAAGUCGAACGAGUGGCGGACGGGUGAGUAAUGUCUGGGAAACUGCCCGAUGGAGGGGGAUAACUACUGGAAACGGUAGCUAAUACCGCAUACCAUCGGAUGUGCCCAGAUGGGAUUAGCUAGUAGGUGGGGUAACGGCUCACCUAGGCGACGAGCCCUAGCUGGUAUGAGAGGAUGACCAGGCACACUGGAACUGAGACACGGUCCAGACUCCUACGGGAGGCAGCAGUGGGGAAUAUUGCACAAUGGGCGCAAGCCUGAUGCAGCCAUGCCGCGUGUAUGAAGAAGGCCUUCGGGUUGUAAAGUACUUUCAGUGAGGCAGCGUUACUCGCAGAAGAAGCACCGGCUAACUCCGUGCCAGCAGCCGCGGUAAUAG
rnacentral:rRNA from 1 species